rnacentral:rRNA from 1 species
UACUAUGUUACGACUUAUUUCAAUUUAUUAAUGAAAGCGACGGGCAAUAUGUACAUAUUUUAAAUUAAAAUCAUUUUAAUAAAUUAAAUAAAAUUACAUUUAAAUCCAAUUUCAAUUAAUUUUUAAAAAUAACAUCCAAUUAAAUAAAUUUAUUGUAAUCCAUUAUAUUCUUAAUUAUAAUCUGCAUCUUGAUCUGAUUUAACUUUUAAUAUAAAAAUUAAAAUAUUAUUAUUAUUUUAAAAUAUUUUUUUAACAACGAUAUACAAAAUUAAAUAAAUUAAGUAAAUUUAUUCGUGGAAUAUCAAUUAAUAAACAGAUUCCUCUAAAUAAACUAAAAUACCGCCAAAUUAUUUAAGUUUUUAUAAAUAAUUAUAUACUAUUUUAGUAUUAUUAAUUUAAAUUUUUAAUAAUUAGGGUAUCUAAUCCUAGUUU